CGGAGGGUGCAAGCGUUAUCCGGAUUCACUGGGUUUAAAGGGUGCGUGGGUGGGUUGGUAAGUCAGUGGUGAAAUCUCCGAGCUUAACUUGGAAACUGCCAUUGAUACUAUUAAUCUUGAAUAUUGUGGAGGUCAGCGGAAUAUGUCAUGUAGCGGUGAAAUGCUUAGAGAUGACAUAGAACACCAAUUGCGAAGGCAGCUGGCUACACAUAUAUUGACACUGAGGCACGAAAGCGUGGGGAUCAAACAGGAUUAGAUACCCUGGUAGUCCACGCCCUAAACUAUGGAUACUCGACAUACGCGAUACACAGUGCGUGUCUGAGCGAAAGCAUUAAGUAUCCCACCUGGGAAGUACGAUCGCAAGAUUG
rnacentral:rRNA from 1 species